AGGAAAGGAUACAGGUAAACUCCUUCUGGUUGUGAUGGAAUGAAGUCAGGAGACAUGGCAUCGCCCUCUAUAACUGAAACGAGAAUACCAGAGAGGCUCCUUUACGGAUCGCAAGGGAGAGUCACAUUCGGCAUUUCUGAAUUCCUGCCAAAUCCAUAGUCAAAAUAACUUCAAGAUAUUCUUAAAUUCUAUCCUGCAGCCAAGAUACAACUUGUUUCUCCUCUACCAAGUAUUGCUUUAUUAUACAUCAAGCAACUUAGCCUUUCAACUCAUUGCAGCAUUUGAAUCAAAAAGAGACAAGUUAAAAUGAUGUACCUGAAUCGUAUUUCAGAAUUGUUAAUGGCAUUCAAGUUGUACACCUCUUGCAUUCGCUUUAUGUGCCCCAAUGGAAGAGGUGCCUAAGAGCAAAAUAAAGAAGUACGA